CCUACGGGAGGCAGCAGUGGGGAAUUUUGGACAAUGGGCGCAAGCCUGAUCCGGCCAUGCCGCGUGUGGGAAGAAGGCCUUCGGGUUGUAAACCACUUUUGUCAGGGAAGAAACGGUCUGGACUAAUAAUUUGGACUAAUGACGGUACCUGAAGAAUAAGCACCGGCUAACUACGUGCCAGCAGCCGCGGUAAUACGUAGGGUGCGAGCGUUAAUCGGAAUUACUGGGCGUAAAGCGUGCGCAGGCGGCUAUGCAAGACAGAUGUGAAAUCCCCGGGCUCAACCUGGGAACUGCAUUUGUGACUGCAUGGCUAGAGUACGGUAGAGGGGGAUGGAAUUCCGCGUGUAGCAGUGAAAUGCGUAGAUAUGCGGAGGAACACCGAUGGCGAAGGCAAUCCCCUGGACCUGUACUGACGCUCAUGCACGAAAGCGUGGGGAGCAAACAGGAUUAGAUACCCUGGUAGUCCACGCCCUAAACGAUGUCAACUGGUUGUUGGACGGCUUGCUGUUCAGUAACGAAGCUAACGCGUGAAGUUGACCGCCUGGGGAGUACGGCCGCAAGGUUGAAACGUUAAAGGAAUUGACGG
rnacentral:rRNA from 1 species